GACGAACGCUGGCGGCGUGCUUAACACAUGCAAGUCGAACGGAAAGGCCCUGCUUUUGUGGGGUGCUCGAGUGGCGAACGGGUGAGUAACACGUGAGUAACCUGCCCUUGACUUUGGGAUAACUUCAGGAAACUGGGGCUAAUACCGGAUAGGAGCUCCUGCUGCAUGGUGGGGGUUGGAAGUUUCGGCGGUUGGGGAUGGACUCGCGGCUUAUCAGCUUGUUGGGGGGGUAGUGGCUUACCAAGGCUUUGACGGGUAGCCGGCCUGAGAGGGUGACCGGCCACAUUGGGACUGAGAUACGGCCCAGACUCCUACGGGAGGCAGCAGUGGGGAAUAUUGCACAAUGGGCGGAAGCCUGAUGCAGCAACGCCGCGUGCGGGAUGACGGCCUUCGGGUUGUAAACCGCUUUCGCCUGUGACGAAGCGUGAGUGACGGUAAUGGGUAAAGAAGCACCGGCUAACUACGUG
rnacentral:rRNA from 1 species